rnacentral:rRNA from 1 species
UGUGGGGGGCAGCCUAACACAUGCAGUCGAGCGGCAGCGGAAGUAGCUUGCUACUUUGCCGGCGAGCGGCGGACGGGUGAGUAAUGUCUGGGAAACUGCCUGAUGGAGGGGGAUAACUACUGGAAACGGUAGCUAAUACCGCAUAACGUCGCAAGACCAAAGAGGGGGACCUUCGGGCCUCUUGCCAUCAGAUGUGCCCAGAUGGGAUUAGCUAGUAGGUGGGGUAACGGCUCACCUAGGCGACGAUCCCUAGCUGGUCUGAGAGGAUGACCAGCCACACUGGAACUGAGACACGGUCCAGACUCCUACGGGAGGCAGCAGUGGGGAAUAUUGCACAAUGGGCGCAAGCCUGAUGCAGCCAUGCCGCGUGUAUGAAGAAGGCCUUCGGGUUGUAAAGUACUUUCAGCGGGGAGGAAGGUGUUGAGGUUAAUAACCUCAGCAAUUGACGUUACCCGCAGAAGAAGCACCGGCUAACUCCGUGCCAGCAGCCGCGGUAAUACGGAGGGUGCAAGCGUUAAUCGGAAUUACUGGGCGUAAAGCGCACGCAGGCGGUCUGUCAAGUCAGAUGUGAAAUCCCCGGGCUCAACCUGGGAACUGCAUUCGAAACUGGCAGGCUAGAGUCUUGUAGAGGGGGGUAGAAUUCCAGGUGUAGCGGUGAAAUGCGUAGAGAUCUGGAGGAAUACCGGUGGCGAAGGCGGCCCCCUGGACAAAGACUGACGCUCAGGUGCGAAAGCGUGGGGAGCAAACAGGAUUAGAUACUCUGGUAGUCCACGCCGUAAACGAUGUCGACUUGGAGGUUGUGCCCUUGAGGCGUGGCUUCCGGAGCUAACGCGUUAAGUCGACCGCCUGGGGAGUACGGCCGCAAGGUUAAAACUCAAAUGAAUUGACGGGGGCCCGCACAAGCGGUGGAGCAUGUGGUUUUAUUUCGAUGCAACGCGAAGAACCUUACCUACUCUUGACAUCCAGAGAACUUUCCAGAGAUGGAUUGGGUGCCUUCGGGAACUCUGAGACGGUGCUGCAUGGCUGUCGUCAGCUCGUGUUGUGAAAUGUUGGUUAAGUCCCGACAACGAGCGCAACUCUAUAUCCUUUGUGCAAGGCGGUCCGGGCGGGAACCUCAAAGGAAGACUGCAAGUGAUAAACUGAGAGUUGGGAUGGACGUUCAAGUCAUCAUGGCUACGAGUAGGGCUACACACGUGUCCUACAAAUGGGCGCUAUAACAG